rnacentral:lncRNA from 1 species
CCACCAUCACCUGUGGUUAAGCCUCCAUACUAUUACAAAUCUCCACCUCCACCAUCCCCUUCUCCACCACCUCCUUACUACUACAAGAGUCCCCCUCCACCAUCACCUGUGGUUAAGCCACCAUACUACUACAAAUCUCCCCCACCACCCUCACCCGUGGUUAAGCCUCCAUACUAUUACAAUUCUCCACCUCCACCAUCACCCUCUCCCCCUCCUCCAUACUAUUACAAAUCUCCACCUCCACCAUCCCCUUCUCCACCACCUCCAUACUACUACAAGAGUCCCCCACCACCAUCGCCCGUGGUUAAGCCUCCAUACUAUUACAAGUCUCCACCUCCACCAUCACCUUCUCCUCCACCUCCUUACUACUACAAGAGCCCCCCUCCACCAUCACCCUCUCCACCUCCUCCAUACUAUUAUAAAUCCCCACCACCACCAUCACCAGUGGUUAAGCC